rnacentral:rRNA from 1 species
UACGUAGGGGGCUAGCGUUGUCCGGAAUCAUUGGGCGUAAAGAGCGUGUAGGCGGCUCGGUAAGUCCGCUCUGAAAGCCCGGGGCUCAACCCCGGGAGGCGGGCGGAUACUGUCGGGCUAGAGUCCGGAAGAGGCGAGUGGAAUUCCUGGUGUAGCGGUGAAAUGCGCAGAUAUCAGGAGGAACACCAAUAGCGAAGGCAGCUCGCUGGGACGGUACUGACGCUGAGACGCGAAAGCGUGGGAGCAAACAGG